AAAAUUCGUUUUCAAUGGCACGUAGCUAUUUUUUCUUUUCUAUUUGUAUUUUCAUUUGCGGUUUCUCUUUUUCAAUUCUAGGUAUAUAUCUUGAUUGUUCGUUUCUAAAUAUCGAAUAUUUAACUUUUCUUCGAGAUCAAAGAAAUUAUUAUUGAAGAAAUAUAAAGCUAUAUGUAAAAUAAGAUAUCUAAGAAGUAUCUAAAUAUAUCUGUGUGUUAUAUACUUCAUGUUUUGACUGAAACUCACUUCGGUUGCUAGGUAACCAAUGUGUAUACAUUACGAGCUUUAUAGCGUGUUUUGCGUUAUAAUACUGUGCGUGUGAUGCGUAUACCUUGCAAAUGAUAUCUUAGAAUUUUAUUAAUUUUAUAAACAAACAUGUUACUCAAGUAUCUUGGUACUGUUAUGCCAGCGCAGGAAUCGGAGAAUAAAGUGAUUAGCAUAGCAUGGUCACCAAACAACUUAAAACUAGCCGUUGCAUCUUCUGAUCGUUCCAUUUACCUCUUCGACGAAAAUGGUGCAAAACGUGACAGAUUCUCCACCAAACCUGUCGAUCCCAAGUUUGGCAAAAAGAGCUACAUGAUAAAGGGAAUAGCUUUCUCCCCGGAGUCUACGAAGAUCGCGGUUGGUCAAACCGAUUGUAUUGUUUAUGUAUAUAAAAUAGGAGAAGACUGGGGCGACAAGAAAGUGAUUUGCAACAAGUUCAAACAGACUUCCGCGGUAACUUGCUUAAUUUGGCCCGUAGGAGGCCCGAUUAUCGUGGGCUUGACAGACGGGAAGGUCCGCGCGGCCCUGGUAAAAUCGCAGAAGGCGCAAACCUUAUACACCUCCGACGCCAUGACGAUAGCUUUGGCUAGCAAUGUUCGUGGUAGUGGCUUUCUGUCGAGUCACGCUGAUGGUAGCAUCAUCCGGUAUUACAUUGCCGAAGACGGCAGUGCGGAACCAUCAGGACGCGUAUGCGUUCACGGUGUGCCUGCUUACGCCUUGGCGUGGCCGCAGUCGCACAUCCUAGCUGCUGGUUGCGACAAACGGCUGACUCUGUACGACUCACAUGGCAAACAGGUGAAGAACUUCGAUUUUAGUCGGGACUCUCAAGAAAGGGAAAUUACCGUAGCCUGCUGCAGCCCGAGCGGCCAGAGCAUUGCCGUGGGCUCGUGGGACAAGGUGCGCAUCCUGGACUGGACGCCACGAAGAGGCGUCUGGGAGGAGACCAACGUGCGCGAUCUUCCAAACUUCUACACGAUCACGGCGCUCGCCUGGAGACGAGACGGCUCGAAAUUGGUAGUUGGAGGAUUGUGCGGUGGUGUUGAACAAUUUGAGACUAUCCUAAGACGCACAGUGGUCCGUGGCAGCCAUGAGGUGGCCUACGUAGGUCCCAGCCAGAUAGUAAUUCGAUCUCUGAGUGAUUCUUCGCAGCGCUCGAUCGUCAUCAGAUCGCAGACAGGUCUGGAGAUCGAGGAUGUACGCGUCUUAGGGCGCAGGGAUAACAACGUGGUAGCUCGCACGGCGCGUACUCUGCUGAUAGGUGACAUCGAACAAGGUCUAAUCAGCGAGAUUCCAUGGGAAGAUCGAUCCAGCAGCGAGAAAUUCUUCUUUGAAUACCCGGUUGUCUGCUUGAUUUUCUAUUCUGGCGAGCUAACAAUCGUCGAAUAUGGGCAAAACGAAGCGCUCGGCUCCGUACGAACCGAGGCUGUGAACCCGCAUGUGAUCAGCGUGCGCGUGAACGAGCGACCCACGUCCGAGGGAGAAGAUAACAAGAAGCUAGCGUAUCUCUUGGAUCCAAGAACAAUCCGUGUAGUUGACUUGAUGACGGGCGCGACCAUCAGCAUGAUCGCCCACGACGCUCGCAUCGACUGGUUGGAGCUAAGUGAGGCAGGUCAUCGACUGCUAUCGCGCGACAAGCGAAGUCGCCUGUGGCUCAGCGACGACGCGGGUAGCAAAGUUUUGCUGGUGACGGGGGUAUCCUUUGCGUCUUGGGUGCCGGGUAGCGACGUUGUCGUCGCUCAGACGGGUCAGACUCUGGCGGUUUGGUACAACGUAGAUGCGCCGGAAGCAGCCACGCUUACGCCGAUCAAAGGCGACGUGGUGGACAUUGUUCGGGAGGAUGGCAAGACGUCUGUAAUGGUCGAGGAAAACGGUGCUAAGGUGGCGUAUGUGUUGGACGAGGGAUUGAUCGAGUUCGGUACGGCGCUGCACGACAAUGACUUUGGCAGAGCCAUUCUGUUCCUGGAGAACAUGGGCGAUAGCCCUCAGGCGGAGACUAUGUGGGAGAACUUGGCUAAAAACGCGAUGAACGAGAGGAAGCUCGCGAUAGCAGCCAGAUGUUACGCCGCGAUGGGUGACGUGGCUUGUACGAAGUUUCUGAAGGAGACCGUCGAGAUUGGUGAAAAGUAUGCCAAGGAAACGGGCAAUGAUCCAAUGGGCAAUCCAGACGUCUGGGCCCGACUGGCUGUGCUGAACGGUGAUCUGAAAACUGCCGAAGCGAUCUACUUGGAACAAAAUGAACUGGACAAGGCGCUGGAGAUGUAUCAACGCUACUGGCACUGGGAAGAAGCUUUGAAUUUGGCCGAGAAUCGGCAGUGGAGUGGUUUGUCCGAGUUACGGGAUCGUCACUUGGCUUGGCUGUUGGACAGCGGUCAGGCAGCUCGCGCGGCCUCUAUCAUAGAAACUACGAACCCCAAAAGAGCCAUUAAGCUCUACCUGGAAGCUAAUCGGCCCGGACGAGCUGCCAGGCUGAUUCUCGCUGACAAUGAAUUGUUGGAAGAUGAGCACAUCGUUGAGGAUGUCAUUAGCGCUCUUAAAGCUACCGAUCUUAUGGAGCUUGCUGGAGAACUGCUGGAGAAAACCGGUGCUGGCGCUGAGGCAAUCAGCUGUUACUCUCAGGCCGGUAUUUUCGCCAGGGCCCUCGAUCUAGCACGUAAAAUUGAUCCUACUAUGGUGGUCGAGCUCGAGAGGGAUUGGGGGAAGCAUUUGGCAACGGGUGGCCAUUACGACGCAGCUAUCAAUCACUUUAUUGAAGCAGGCGAGACAAUAUCGGCGCUGAAGGCCGCUAUUAACGCGCGUCAAUGGAGAAAGGCUCUACAAAUUAUACAAGUGAUCGAAGAUGACGAUCCUGAAAUUCAGCUGCAAUGCGAGAAGUUGGGCGAGUACUUUUCGUCGAUCGGUGAACGAAGCCUGGCCGAGAAUCUUUUUAUUCGCGCCGGAAACGCGCGACGUGCCGUGGAAACUCAUGUGCAGUCGGGCAAUUGGAUGCGUGCGCAUCAGGUAGCUCAAGAACACAUGAAUACCGAUGAAGCCAACGAAGUGCUGGCAAAGCACGCUGAGAGUCUACAGCAAGCUGGCGAAUAUCGUCACGCCGAGGCGCUCUACGUGGCGAUCGGCGAUCACGAUGCAGCGAUCGCUAUGUAUCGUAAGGAAGGGCAUCGUAGCGACAUGGUCAGGCUGGUUGCUGACCAUCGGCCGGACCUCCUUCAUACUACUCACGCACAUCUGGCGAGGGAGCUGGAGGCAGCCGGCAAGCCAAGAGAAGCCGAAGAAUACUUCCUAGGUGCUGGUGAUUGGCGCGGAGCGGUCACAGCUUACAGGUCCGUGAAUAUGUGGGAGGACGCGUUAAGGGUUGCCAAGAAGGCUUCGGGCGAACAAGCAGCACAGCAGGUUGCCUUGAUGUGGGCCCGAACACUGGCUCCGGAAUUGGGUGCUAGAUUGUUAAUGCGUCUGAAUUAUUUGGAGCCUUGCCUGCAGCUGGCAUGCGAGACCAACUUGUUUGAGUGGGCCUUGGAAAUCUCAAAAUACGGCACGAUGGAUCAAAAGAAGGAGGUCCACUAUCGCUAUGCUAUGGCGCUCGAGGACGAGGGCCGCUUUGCUGAGGCUGAGAAGGAGUUCGUACAGGCUGGCAAGGCUAUGGAGGCGGUGCAGAUGUACAUACACUCCCGCGACUGGGAAUCCGCCGAGGAUGUCGCGCGAUCGCAUAGUCAAGAGGCGGUGGCGCAAGUUCUGAUUGCCCGUGCUGCUGAAGCCGCAGAAGCACAAGAUUACGCAACGGCGGAAACCCUUCUUCUAAGGGCCCACAAACCGGAGAUGAUUAUUGAACAUUAUAAAACUGCUGGAAUGUGGUCUGAAGCACUACGAGUGUGUCGAGAGUAUCUGCCAAGUCAAGAGGCUGCCCUACGCAGGGAGUUGGGUCAGAAGAGCGCGGGAUUGGACGGAGCGAACGCCCUGGAGGAAGCUCGCAAGUGGCUUGAACUCGGGGAAGUGCGACCUGCCCUGGACACCCUGAUCCUGAAUCCACAAGCACCGAGGCCUUAUCUUAUUCGUGCGGCUGAUAUUCUUUUACAUCAGGCGGAUCCUGAAACGGCAGCGGAGAUUGGCGGUGAUCUGGGUGCGCGCUUGUUCUCCGUUGGUGAACACGCGCUCGCCGCUCAGGUAUUCCUUCAGGCGGAUCGACUGAAGGACGCGGUGAGUUCGCUAGUGGCGGUCGGCGAGUGGGAUCGUGCACGUCGGAUUGUUCGCGAGCUCGCUCCAGAUCUCGAGUCGUAUCUUGAAGAAAAGUAUCGGGAUGCUAUGGCAAGUGACGAUCAAAUGGAGCGAUUAGCGGGGACGAAUGGCAAUGCCGCCCUCGAGAUGAUGGCACGCAAGGGUCAAUGGAGUCAGCUGUUCGAGGCCGCGAAUUCGCAAGGGCCGGAAGUAUUGCACAGAUUCGUGGCGCGACGUGCCGCACAAUUGCUGAAGAGCGACUCCGCACCGCAAGCGCUACAACUUUACGCGCAGUACGGCGCACCCGCGAUAUCGCAGAACUACAAUCUCUAUUUCCAGCUGGCUGAGAACAUCCUGAAUGAGAAGCAGCAGGAAUACAGAUAUCUAGCCCAACUGCGUGACAUCCUGCAUGGUCUCUGCCGCUCGUCGCCGUCUUCCGACAAGUUCGAGCGACUGCUGCAAGCUGCGCAUCUUUCCGCGGUGAAGCACGGCUGCCGUUCGUACCCAGCACUUACCAGCAUUGUAGUUAAAGUGUCUGUCAGCCUUCUGCGAUAUACCGAUGUCCUCCUCGCCGACAGAUUCUACUACGAAGCCGGCAUUGCAGCGCGUUCCGCGGGUCUCCUGAGCGAAGCCUUUGUCUUUCUCAAUCACUUUCUUGACCUGGAAGAGUGCAUCGAGGAGGAGGGUGACGGCAACGUUCUCGACGUGGACGACCUACGCGUAAGCGACUUCCCGCUCGAAGUUCCGCUUCCGGAACGCCUCGGCGUCGCGGCAGAUCAACGCGAGGAGGCAAGGGAGUGGGUGCUGGCGGUGUCCAUGGAUCAAAAGAUUGAGCAAGGCUUGCCGGUUGAUCAGAGAGGUGUCUAUGUGGGCUCACUGACGUCACCGACUAACUCCGGUACGCUUCUUCAGCAAUGCGUGAUCACGGGAUAUCCGGUACGCGGCCCAGUCGUCAAAUUCGAGGAGACCAAUCGCGUGGCUGAUCGAGACGACUGGACCAAACUGGUCCACACGGCCAGACAAGCGCCUCUAGAUUCACCGCUGAACGACAUCUUGGUGUUUCUUCAGGAAUGGUGUGGCACGGUACCCAAAUAUUCAUUUUAAAAAGAGCUUUCAGUUAACAAAUUUUAACAAAUUUGAAUCGAAUUUUUCAUUUGAAGAUAAAUGAUGAACGACACAAAGAAUCAUGAUUAUUUUUUUCUGUUUAGAAUAGAAAAUGAAAUAAUGUAAAAUAAUUAAAAACUCAUCAAAUUCAUCAAAUUGUUCUCCGAUAUACUUCUUUCAACACGUUCGUCGUAUGGAGUAGCUAAUGAAGGGAUUUGAGGGAGUAGCAGGCAACUGGGGAUGAUGAUUAACCACUUGAACUUUCAGAUACUUUAAGCGGUCUAAGGAAAGGUGUUGGAAGAAAAAGAAGACAGCAAGAAGACGGCGACACAGCUCCCGUCCAGACUGAUACGAUCCUUACCUUCCUUCAGGAAUUCGUGAAAGCCAGUUGAUCGCCGCCAUUAAACGCUCGACGAUUAAUUUAAAUAAAUGCGUCGCCGUUAUAACCGCAGAGACACUUACUUGCAUGAAAAAUAGCGGAUAUUCAAAUGGGGGAGAAGUCUUCGCUGAAAAGUCACGAGGGACUAAUCUUCUGACGGAUCGCGGGAUUUCCCCUUAAAAUAUUCAGACGAAGAACUGUAGAAGAGUGGUUUAAUUAAUUACGGGAUUACGUGCGGGAAUUUCGGUCACUAUGAAAAUUUGUAUUGUUAAUAUUGAUAUAAUACGCAAAUAAAAAUUAAAUUAUCUCUGAAAAUGUUAAGCUAUUCAAAGUAGAUGAUUUGAUUUUUAUCUGUGACGGUCUCUCAAGAAAUUAAGUCUCUUAUUUUAUCAACAAUGCUGAACGAGUGUCCAAAGGGCAUCGGAUAAAGUUUAGAAUUUUAUAUAUAUUAUAAUAUAAAACAUUUAGAGUACAGGGAGGAUAUUUAGGGAUAAAAAAGAGAGAGAGAGAAGGGUAAAAAAAGAAACGAUAAAUGGGGCUGUGAAUGCACAUAAAAAAUUGGUAUAUAUAAUAACAAUAAUAUAUAUAAUAUAUAUAACAUAUAUGCAAUGU
rnacentral:misc_RNA from 1 species